rnacentral:rRNA from 1 species
AUGAGUUAAUGGGCGUCGAGCGGCGGACGGGUGAGUAAUGCCUAGGAAAUUGCCUUGAUGUGGGGGAUAACCAUUGGAAACGAUGGCUAAUACCGCAUAAUGCCUACGGGCCAAAGAGGGGGAUCUUCGGACCUCUCGCGUCAAGAUAUGCCUAGGUGGGAUUAGCUAGUUGGUGAGGUAAUGGCUCACCAAGGCGACGAUCCCUAGCUGGUCUGAGAGGAUGAUCAGCCACACUGGAACUGAGACACGGUCCAGACUCCUACGGGAGGCAGCAGUGGGGAAUAUUGCACAAUGGGCGAAAGCCUGAUGCAGCCAUGCCGCGUGUAUGAAGAAGGCCUUCGGGUUGUAAAGUACUUUCAGUUGUGAGGAAGGGGGUAACGUUAAUAGCGUUAUCUCUUGACGUUAGCAACAGAAGAAGCACUGGCUAACUCCGUGCCAGCAGCCGCGGUAAUACGGAGGGUGCGAGCGUUAAUCGGAAUUACUGGGCGUAAAGCGCAUGCAGGUGGUUCAUUAAGUCAGAUGUGAAAGCCCGGGGCUCAACCUCGGAACUGUAUUUGAAACUGGUGAACUAGAGUGCUGUAGAGGGGGGUAGAAUUUCAGGUGUAGCGGUGAAAUGCGUAGAGAUCUGAAGGAAUACUAGUGGCGAAGGCGGCCUCUCUGGACAGACACUGACACUCAGAUGCGAAAGCGUGGGGAGCAAACAGGAUUAGAUACUCCUGGUAGUCCACGCCGUAAACGAUGUCUACUU